rnacentral:lncRNA from 1 species
UUGUUAACAAAUGAGCAACAUUGUUUGUUUGUCUCUCUCCUAACAAAACUUAUCUUAAAGUUUGGAUAUAAUCUAAGUGAAGCUUACAAUUAUUUAAAAUAGCUCUAAAUUUGGAAUAUGUACUAAAUUUACUAGCAAUGUCGUCAACCACUUGCUUGUAGUCAAGUUCUAUUGACAUUGCCGCUAAAUUCAUGUUGCCAAGCUUAUUGCUUCUUUUAAGCCACAAGUUUCUACUUCUUGAGGUUGUGGUAGGCCUAAAAACAUAGAUGUUUUAGCUGCAAUAUAAUCAUUGUUGUUGCCACUAAGACACAUCCCAACGCCGUAGCGCCCAUCUUCCUUAAAAAUUGUCCCACAGACGUUGCAUUUCAUCUCCCGCACCUUCCGACAUAAUGCUCUAGGACCAUAAGAGAGGGAGACACCACAUCUUCAUCCAAAACUUUAAAGUUUAAAGCAUUAAAUUAAUAAAUCACUUCUCUUAUAAAUUCAACAUUCUUCCUAUUUAUAAUCCAUGUGAGACUUAACCGCUCACACUUGAAAACCAACAAUAUUUAACUUCACUUAUUCUUACGAAAUCAACUUAUAGAUAAAAAGUGUCUCUUUGUAAAUUUUUGGCAUGCCUUCUUUAACUAUAACUAUGUAUGGCUUUAAUUUUUUUCCAAUAAAUAUAAAAAUUCUCUAAUUUUGUAUUCUGAGUAAAGUAUACAUAUUUAAAAGUUGGUUUUCCUUGUCCCACGUUAGUGAAAGAAAAGGGAACCGACUGUAGACAAGAAGAAAAAAUAAUGAAAGACAGAACAGCAAGCAAACCAUGGCCAAGCUUCAUGAUCACCGUCCUUGUCUUAAAGACCUGUUUCAUUCUCAUCAUUGAUCUAACCAUGUGCAUCCGACCCAGCAAUAGGGGUGUGCAUGGUCGGAUAAUUUGACAAUCCAAAUCAUAUCCAAACCAAAAUCAUUUAAUUGGAUUUGAAUUCAUAAUCAUAAUCAAAUUUUAUUAUAAAUCGGUUAUAAAACUGGUUACAAAUUUAGUUACGGAUACAUAACCAGUUAUUUUAACCAAACCAAAUUUAAAAGCGGUCAUUUUUUAAAUCCAAUUUUUAAACUGUUAUUUUUAAAUCUAGAUAAAAAAAAACCGGUUAUUUCUUUUUAAAAAUUGGUUUAGACAAUUUUUUAAAAAAAUCUAUUUUUUUAAAAAAAAAAUCAAAAUAUAUUUAAUAAAAAAUAAAUAAAACCAAGGAAUAAAUUUUGUAAAAGUUCACCGUAAACCAAAAUUUUUGUAAAAGUUGCUUAAAAAAAAUUGUAAAGAAUCCAAAUUUUAUAUAGAAUAAAUUUCUAUACCUUGUACUGUGUCACUGUGUGUAACGUGGAGGUUGUUGUGN